GACUCUCGGCAACUGAUAUCUUAACUCUUGCAUUAAUUAAGAACAUAGUGAAUUGUUAUACUUGUUGUGAAUUGCAAAAUAAAGUGAACCAUUAAGUUUUUGAAACGCAAGUUGUGCCCGAAGUCAUUAGGAUGAGGGUACGUCUGCCUGAACUUCC
rnacentral:rRNA from 2 species